rnacentral:rRNA from 1 species
GAUGAACGCUGGCGGCGUGCCUAAUACAUGCAAGUCGAGCGAACAGACGAGGAGCUUGCUCCUCUGACGUUAGCGGCGGACGGGUGAGUAACACGUGGAUAACCUACCUAUAAGACUGGGAUAACUUCGGGAAACCGGAGCUAAUACCGGAUAAUAUAUUGAACCGCAUGGUUCAAUAUUGAAAGACUGUUUUGCUGUCACUUAUAGAUGGAUCCGCGCCGCAUUAGCUAGUUGGUAAGGUAACGGCUUACCAAGGCAACGAUGCGUAGCCGACCUGAGAGGGUGAUCGGCCACACUGGAACUGAGACACGGUCCAGACUCCUACGGGAGGCAGCAGUAGGGAAUCUUCCGCAAUGGGCGAAAGCCUGACGGAGCAACGCCGCGUGAGUGAUGAAGGUCUUCGGAUCGUAAAACUCUGUUAUUAGGGAAGAACAAAUGUGUAAGUAACUAUGCACGUCUUGACGGUACCUAAUCAGAAAGCCACGGCUAACUACGUG